AUGUCAAAACAAAAGGGAUGCCACGACAACGACAACGAAAAUGAUGCCACAACAACAUUUCGAUGCUCUGACAACUCGUCGAGAUGUCAGUGCAAAAAAAAAGUACGGAUGUACGAAACAUGCAAAAGAUGGUGGGCUGGUCCCGAUUACUGGGUUCCCACGGGUCGAAGGCAUGGCAACGACAACUCAAACAUGGUGCAAACACAAACAUCUCAUACAACACAUAUGUAUUUGUUCGGCGUUGUCUCGGGUUUAUACCUUCGAAGCGUGCAAUUCGGGGCGGACGAGUUUGAUGCAGUGCAGACGAAAGUAGUGCUACACGACAUCGGUAGAGGUACUCAUCGGUAG
rnacentral:rRNA from 1 species